rnacentral:lncRNA from 1 species
UCAGCCUUCUGUGUAGCUGGGACUACAUCACAACUGGCUAAUUUUUGUAUUUUUAGUAGAGACAGGUUUUCAUCAUGUUGACCAGGCUGGUCUCAAACUCCUGACCUCGGGUGAUCUGCCCGACUCGGCCUCCCAAAGUGCUGGGAUUACAGGCAUGAGCCACUGCGCCCGGCCUGGAGUCUUAUCUUUCACAUGGACCAGUAACAUUUCAACAUCUAUUUAGAUCAGGACUCCCCAACCCCCUAGCCACAGACUAGUAACUAAUGCCUGAUGAUCUGAGGUGGAACAGUUUCAUCCUGAAACCAUCCCCACUCGUCAGUGGAAAAACUGUCUUCCGUGAAACCGGUUCCUGGUGCCAAAAAGGUUGGGGACUGCUGAUUUAGAGGACCCACAUUGGGUUGUCAACAGCCAUCACAAGAUAUUUCCAAAACUAUCAUCUAUUUUCCCCAUCAUUUCAUAAAGAAAAAGCGCUUUUAAUACCAAUAAAAGGGGAUGAAUAACAUGAUUGCUGAAUACGAGACAGGCCUUUACAGAUGUGGCUUUCUAUGGUCAAUUUUCUCAUUUGCAGAAGAGCAGGGAACUCAAACCUCUUCACAGGCCAGCAAUGUGAAACUGUGGUCCCAGCUACCGUCCCUUUUCCACCCCCAUAGGUAGCUGCUCACCAAGUCCUGCUCAUCCUAACUGGCCUGGUUUCUGGAACCCUUCCUGUUCCCUUCACUGGCACUGUUCCUGACCUCUGCCAGGCCCUCAGUUCCCUCUGGCCUGAACCCUGCAGAUGACAAGCUGUUUCAGAGCAAGGAGAGUCACAUCUGUCCACAGGAGGGGAAGGGCCCUGAUGCCUUGCAAGUAUGCAUCAUGGAUGUGGAUGAAUCUGGAAACCAUCAUUCUCAGCAAACUGACACAAGAACAGAAAACCAAAUGUUCUCCCUCACAGGUGGGUGUUGAACAAUGGGAACACAUGGGGAGCAUCACACAUUGGGGUCUGUUGGGAGGGGCCAAGGGAGGGACAGCGGGGGUUGGGAAGGUUGAGGAGGGAUAACAUGGGGAGAAAUGCCAGAUAUAGGUGACGGGGGGAUGGCAGCAGCAAACCACCUUGCCAUGUAUGUACCUAUGCAAUG